rnacentral:rRNA from 1 species
UCCUACGGGAGGCAGCAGUGGGGAAUCUUGCACAAUGGAGGAAACUCUGAUGCAGCGAUGCCGCGUGAGUGAAGAAGGCCCUUGGGUUGUAAAGCUCUUUCGUCGGGGAAGAAAAUGACUGUACCCGAAUAAGAAGGUCCGGCUAACUUCGUGCCAGCAGCCGCGGUAAUACGAAGGGACCUAGCGUAGUUCGGAAUUACUGGGCUUAAAGAGUUCGUAGGUGGUUGAAAAAGUUGGUGGUGAAAUCCCAGAGCUUAACUCUGGAACUGCCAUCAAAACUUUUCAGCUAGAGUUUGAUAGAGGAAAGCAGAAUUUCUAGUGUAGAGGUGAAAUUCGUAGAUAUUAGAAAGAAUACCAAUUGCGAAGGCAGCUUUCUGGAUCAUUACUGACACUGAGGAACGAAAGCAUGGGUAGCGAAGAGGAUUAGAUACCCUCGUAGUCCAUGCCGUAAACGAUGUGUGUUAGACGUUGGAAAUUUAUUUUCAGUGUCGCAGCGAAAGCGAUAAACACACCGCCUGGGGAGUACGACCGCAAGGUUAAAACUCAAAUGAAUUGACGGGGACCCGCACAAGUAGUGGAGCAUGUGGUUUAAUUCGAAGAUACGCGCAGAACCUUACCAACACUUGACAUGUUCGUCGCGACUUUAAGAGAUUAAAGUUUUCGGUUCGGCCGGACGAAACACAGGUGCUGCAUGGCUGUCGUCAGCUCGUGUCGUGAGAUGUUGGGUUAAGUCCCGCAACGAGCGCAACCCUCACUUUUAGUUGCCAUCAUUAAGUUGGGCACUCUGAAAGAACUGCCAGUGAUAAGCUGGAGGAAGGUGGGGAUGACGUCAAGUCCUCAUGGCCCUUACGUGUUGGGCUACACACGUGCUACAAUGGUAUCUACAACAGGAAGCGAAACAGCGAUGUUAAGCAAAUCCUUAAAAGAUACCUCAGUUCGGAUUGCACUCUGCAACUCGAGUGCAUGAAGCUGGAAUUACUAGUAAUCGUGGAUCAGCGUGCCACGGUGAAUGCGUUCCCGGGUCUUGUACACACCGCCCGUCACACCAUGGGAGUUGGUUCUACCUUAAGGCAAGGCUUAAUAACCUUGACCACGGUAUAGUCAGCGACUGGGGUGAAGUCGUAACAAGGUAGCCGUAGGGGAACCUGCGGCUG